AAGAUUUUAAGUUAACUAAACUAGAGGUCUUCAAAACCUCCAAUAAAAAUUAUUUUAAAUCUUG
rnacentral:tRNA from 1 species